GGGCGGAUGGUGGAUGCCCUGGCAGCUGGAGGCGAUGAAGGACGUGGCAGACUGCGAUAAGCCACGGGGAGCCGUCGAGCAGGCGUUGAUCCGUGGAUCUCCGAAUGGGGUAAACCCACCGCGUGGAAGACGCGGUAUCUCUCCCCCAAUCCAUAAGGGAGAGAGGCGAACCCGGGGAAGUGAAGCAUCUCAGUACCCGGAGGAGAAGAAAUCAAACGAGAUUCCGUCAGUAGCGGCGAGCGAACGCGGAAGAGCCUAAACCGUGCACAUGCAGAAGACUGCCCUCGUUGUGUGCAUGGGGUUGCAGGCCGGCCCGUCCACGGGGGGCAGCCCGUGGCAGAGGUCACCAAGAUUGGCUCUAGCCGAACAGCUAGUCAAGUCACUGGAAAGAGCGACCAGAGAGGGUGAUAGUCCCGUAGGCGAAAGGGUCAGUCCCUCUGGGGCCGUGCCUCAGUAACGCCGUACCCGUGUUACGGCGUGAAGCUGGGAGGACCACCUUCCAAGGCUAAAUACUACCAGCUGACCGAUAGUGGACCAGUACCGCAAGGGAACGGUGAAAAGAACCCCGGAAGGGGAGUGAAACAGAACCUGAAACCAUCCGCUCACAGACAGUCGGAGGGUCCCGCCGACCCUUUGCCCUGGGCUCCGCAAGGGGUCCUGUGGCAGAGCCGGCGGCCUGACGGCAUGCCUUUUGCAGUAUGAUCCUGCGAGCUACCGUGCGUGGCCAGGCGAAGCCUCGUCUGUGGGGCGCAGCCGCAGCGAAAGCGAGUCCGAAGAGGGCGACCAGUCACGUGCGGUAGGCACGAAGCCGAGCGAUCUACCCAUGGCCAGGCUGAAACCGAGGUAACACUCGGUGGAGGGCCGAACCCGUGAACGUGGAAUAGUUCUGGGAUGAGCUGUGGGUAGCGGUGAAAAGCCAGACGGGCCUCGGUGAUAGCUUGUUCUCCUCGAAAUAGUUUUGGGACUAGCCUCGGCAGUUAAGCCAUGGGGGUAGAGCCACUGGAUGGAUGCGGGGCAACCCAAUUCCAACCAAACUCCGAAUACCAUGGCGGACCUGCCGGGAGUCAGACGGCGGGGGAUAACCUUCGUCGUCGAGGGGGAAACGGCCCAGAUCGUCGGCUAAGGCCCCAAAGACCGAGCUAAGUCAGGAAGGAUGUGCUCCUGCUUAGACAGCUGGGAGGUUGGCUUAGAAGCAGCCAUCCUUUAAAGAGUGCGUAAUAGCUCACCAGUCGAGCGGGGGUGCGCCCAAGAUUCAGCGGGAGUCAAGCUCGGCGCCGAAGCCACGGGAGAGUCGCUGGUGCGCCCAGCGACUACGGUAGAGGAGCAUUCCGCUGUAGGCCGAAGUCAUCUCGGAAGAGGUGGCGGACGAAGCGGAAGAGAGAAUGCAGGAAUGAGUAGCGCGAGGUGAGCGAGAAACUCACCCACCGAAUGCCUCAGGGUUCCUGGGGAAGGCUCAUCCACCCAGGGUUAGGCGGCCCUAAGCUCAACCCGCAAGGGGUAGGCGAUGGAGAGCCGGUUAAUAUUCCGGCCCCUCUGUGCGGCGGUGACCAAGGGGGGACGCAUCAGGUCGCUUCAGCGGGCGGACGGAUGUGCCCGUGCCAGCGGCGAGGCAUCCGGCUGUAGGCAAAUCCGCAGCCGGGUCAAGUCGAGCCGAGGCGGAGGUCCUACGGGACCGAAGGAAGAGCGAUCAGGUGCCGAGAAAAACCUCUAGGGAGCCGCACAGAGCCCGUACCGCAAUCCGACACAGGUAGGCGGGCAGAGUAUGCUCAGGUGGGCGAGAGAACCAUGGUCAAGGAACUCGGCAAAAUGCUCCCGUACGUUCGCAAGAAGGGAGGCCCCGUGUAGGGCCGCAAGGUCCGAGGGGGCCGCAGAGAGCAGGCUGGGGGGACUGGUUAUCAAAACCACAGCACCCUGCCAACUCGCAAGAGGACGUAUAGGGUGUGAGACCUGGCCACUGCUGGAAGGUCAAGGGGAGGGGUUCACGCCCCAAACUGAAGCCCCAGCGAAGGCCGGCCGUAACUAUAACGGUCCUAAGGUAGCGAAAUUCCUUGUCGGGUAAGUUCCGACGCGCAUGAAUGGUAUAACCACUCCAGCGCUGUCUUGACCAUGGGCUCGGUGAAAUUGAAGCACCGGUGAAAACGCCGGUGACUCGCGGCAGGACGGAAAGACCCCGUGGAGCUUUACUGGAGCUUGGUAUUGGGUCUCGAUGGGCGUUGUGUAGGAUAGGUGGGAGCCGGAGAAGUCUCCGCGCUAGCGGGGAUGGAGGCGUCCUUGAAAUACCACCCUUCGCCCGUUGCGGCUCUAACCGACGGCCGUACAGCGGUCGCGGGACAGUGCUAGGCGGACAGUUUAACUGGGGCGGUUGCCUCCCAAAGAGUAACGGAGGCGCGCAAAGGUCGGCUCAGCCGGGUUGGCGAUCCGGCGGGGAGUGCAUGGGCACAAGCCGGCUUGACUGUGACCCCGACAGGGGGAACAGGUGCGAAAGCAGGCCCAAGUGACCCGGUGGCUCUGUGUGGAAGGGCCAUCGAUCAUCGGAUAAAAGUUACCCCGGGGAUAACAGGCUAGUACCGCCCGAGAGUACACAUCGACGGCGGUGUUCGGCACCUCGAUGUCGGCUCAACUCAUCCUGGGGCUGAAGCAGGUCCCAAGGGUCCGUCUGUUCGCCGGUUAAAGAGUUACGUGAGCUGGGUUCAGACCGUCGCAAGACAGGUCGGUCCAUAUCCGCCGCGAGCGCAAGAGGCUUGAGGGGCGCUCUCCCUAGUACGAGAGGACCGGGAGGGCUGGACCUCUGGUGUACCAGUUGUUCUGCCAAGAGCACCGCUGGGUAGCUAGGUCCGGACGGGAUAAGCGCUGAAGGCAUCUAAGCGCGAAGCCCACCCCAAGAUGAGGCCUCUGAGAGCCCUGGGAGAACACCAGGUUGAUAGGCCGCAGGUGGAAGCAGAGCAAUCUGUGGAGCCGAGCGGUCCUAAUCGCUCCGUCGUUU
rnacentral:rRNA from 1 species